AAACAUUCAAGGUUAAGUAGCCUUUUUCUCCCUUCAUGGUCUUUUCUUCAUCUUCAUUGACUAACCACCCACGUGGAUUGGCUAAUUUCCCGCUGCCCGUGCGUCCUUUCUUCAUUUGGAAGCGAUACCGCGCACUGAAGAAGUUUAGAACGCGUGCGUGGACGAGCGCGAGAGGCUUGUGGCGCAUUGGACAGCUCCGAUCGGUGCUGAAAGAACCCAAAGAAAAGAGGAAGAGAAAGAGAGGGGGAGAGGGCGAUCACACAUGAACUCGUCCAUCAUCUGACCGAAGCCAAAGCGGAAGAGGGGGAAGACAACCUUCCGAGACACGCAGGAGCGGACAGAUGAAACCUGCACGGCAUUCCGCCUCAUUUUCACGCUUCUUCCUUCAAAAACGCAGCUUUACCUGAGAUCUUUACGCACCGCAAAAGACAGGAGAAAACGCCGCGUGUGAUGAGUGUUGCGCGGUGCGUGCUCCUGAAGGAUCCCCAGUCCUGAUAAAGGGACCAAAAAGGGACAUUAAAGACUGUCCACGGUUUAUUUAUAUAUUUAUUUUAUCAUUAUUGUUUUUUCCAGAAGAAAGUCGCAAAGGUGGAGCGAUUAGAGCAGGGCUGAUGAAGGGACCGUUAAUCCUUUCAGUGCAUCAAAAGCACCAGAGGGGUUUGGAAACGUGCGGAUGGAAAUCGGACCAAUGUUUGGAACUGUUUUUGGUUUUAUAUGAAACUGGUGAUUAGUGGCUCUGGCUCCUUUUCCCCACUUCAGAAAUAAAAAGCAGUUUUAGUUUAAUUUGGAUUUUCUUCCUCUGGAGGUUCAUGUCAUGGAGGGGUGAGAUUUGGAAACAAAACUAUCAUCUUUGUCCUUUUUUUCUCAUAAAUCUAAAUGGAAUUAGUUGAGUCUGAAGCCGUUUGUGAAAGAAACAGACAUGGUACAUGGGCACAGCUUCCAUCACGUUGUUGCAAGUCUACUCCUGCUUGGGUUGUCUGGGGCAACAAAGAAAGACUCAACUACAGUGAAAAACAAUUCUGGAGUGAAGCCUGCAGGUCAGUGUGGAGCGUGGGUGAAGGAAUCAGAAGGAGGGCUCUUUACUUCUCCCAAUUACCCAAACAAAUACCCCCCGAACACAGAGUGUGUUUACAUCCUGGAAGCUCCCCCACGGCAGUGCAUCGAUCUACAUUUUGAGGAGAAUUACUCCAUCGAGUCCUCUUGGGAAUGUAAAUUUGACAACAUCGAGGUUCGCGAUGGACCGUUCGGCUUCUCCCCGAUGCUCGGCCGGCACUGCGGUCAGCACAGCCCACCGGACAUCAGGAGCAGCGGCCGAUAUCUGUGGAUAAAAUUUGUAACCGACGGAGAACUGGAAGGGGUGGGAUUUUCAGCAAGUUACAACUUCACAGCUGAUCCAGACUUUGCAGACUUGGGAGUACCCCCACCUCUGCCCUCCUGUCAGUACGACAUGGUUGGCCCUGAAGGUAUCGUUGAGUCUCAUCAGAUCACCAGAGACGGGAAGGCUGGCGCCGCUGAAGCCGUUGACUGUAAAUGGUACAUCCGAGCUCCGCCAAGAUCCAAGAUCUACCUACGGUUUCUGGACUACGAGAUGGCUAAUUCCAACGAAUGCAAACGCAAUUUUGUAGCAGUGUAUGACGGUGGCAGUUCGGUGGAAGACCUGAAGAGCAAGUUCUGCUCCACGGUGGCAAACGACAUCAUGCUGGUCUCCACUCUGGGAGUCGUCCGUAUGUGGGCGGACGAGCUCAGCCGCAGAAGCCGCUUCCGAAUCCUCUUCACCACCUACCAAGAACCCCCAUGUGAUGCCGAUGCCUUCUUUUGUCACAGUAACAUGUGCAUAAACUACACGCUGGUGUGUAACGGCAUGCAGAACUGUGUCUACCCCUGGGAUGAAAACCAGUGUAAAGAGAAAACCAACACCAAAUUCCUGGACAACCUCAACUCCACAAAUGGGGCUAUCAUUGGAGUAACUUGCUGCAUCGUCUUCAUCCUCCUCAUCGUCUCAGUGAUUGUUCAGAUAAAGCAACCGCGUAAGAAGUACAUCCUACGACGUGAGGACUUCGACCCCACCAUGUUUCAGGAGGUCUUUGAGCCCCCUCACUAUGAGCUGUGUACGUUGCGGAGUGCCGCCACGCCCACGGCGGCCUCUGCGGAUUUAGUCGACUUGGCAGAAGACUUUGGGAACUACCAUGCCCUUCGCCGGGCCUCCUCCCGCUGCAUCCACGAUCACCACUGUGGCUCCACCACUAACCCUGGCUCUGCACACAUAUCCCAGCUGUCUCUCAGCGGACGUGGCAGCCGUAGUAACCUGAGCGCUCGUGACACAGGGGCCGCCACUCUGCUUGCGGACCUCCCACAGCCGCCCAUGUCCGUGCGCCCCCUGCUGCCGAAUGCAGGGAACCGCAGGAGCAUCUUAGUCAUGAAGCACAGCUACUCACAAGAGGCAGCGGACAAUGGAUGCGACCUAGACGAUGACCUGGAAGACGUUCCUACCACCAGCCACCGACUGUCACGGCACGAAAAGGCGGUACAGCGGUUCUGCCUCAUUGGCUCUUUGAGCAAACAUGAAUCAGAGUACAACACAACUAGGGUCUAGGAGACAAUCUCAAGACUUCUUGAGGAUAGUGCAAUCCUGGAUCAGUUUGAACUAGCAUCAUUGACUUUGUGAAAAGGCGGAAAGGAGAUUUACGCCAGCAUGAUGCUGAUGCUGAUGAUGAUGAAGGAACACUUUGAUGACAGAGUUCUAAUGUGUAAAGAUGGACACAGAAGACUAGCUGAAAAAAUGAGUUCUUUGUUUCUUACAUGUUCUGUUUUAUUGUUAAAGAACACAAAUUAAUAAUUGUCUCCUUUUUCUCAUGACACUCAUUAGUUCAUUUUUAGGCAUGGUUUUUUUAUGCUAUAGCAACAUGUUAUGAUUUGAAGAGCAAACUAUUGAGUUUGCUGCUAUUUGAAUCUAAUAAUUCAUUUUCGGUAAAAUCUGGAAUUAAACUAGUAUUAACCAAGUUGAAUUUAAUGCUCUUGGCACAACAAACGGGCAGGGACGUUUGGCUUCUGCAUGUUUCUUUAAUAAAAAUUAACGGGAUUAGUUCCCAUUUGGAAAUGUGUUUUUCUGUAAAAAUUACAAAAAGUUACCACGCUGCCUGUUAGUUUCCUGAAAGGCCUCACUUCAGAGAAAAAUCUGUUAGUAUUUAUCAAUAAAUUCAAUUCAAUUCAAUUUUAUUUAUAUAGCGCCAAAUCAUGACAAGAGUCAUCUCAAGGCACUUCACAUAGUAAACAUUCCAAUCCAGGUCAGUUCAUUAAGCCAAUCCGAAAAAAAGUUUCCUAUAUAAGGAACCCAGCAAAUUGCAAGGGAGUUUUCCUCUCCACUGUCGCUAUAUGCUUGCUUAGAAUGAGGAUUGUUGUAAAGUCACUGACUAUCUCACAAUCCUCAUUCUAAGCAAGCAUAUAGCGACAGUGGAGAGGAAAACUCCCUUUUAACAGGAAGAAACCUCCAGAGGAUCCUGGCUCAGUAUAAGCAGUCAUCCUCCACAACUCACUGGGGAUCGAGAAAACAGAGCACACACACACACACACACACAGACAAAGACAAAGUAAUGAGUCUAUAGUUAUAUUGUGAUUUCUUAGUAAAUAUUCUAUUUGGUGAGAGAUAAACUUUAUUGUAUUUAUCCUAGUGGAUCUAUAAUUAAACGGAUAAACUAGUAGUAGCACAUCCAACGUCAAGGAAAGCAAAAAGUUAUCAUCAGGAGAGGGACAAUGUUUAAGGGGUUAGCAGCAGUGUGCUAGACGAUGGCCCCCUCCAUGAGGCCACCACAGCUCAGCAGAACAUCAUUGUAGCUUCUUCUGGGGAGAAAAACACUUAGAGAGAAAAUAAAGUUAACAGCUGAAAUUGCAGAAAAUAAUACAGUUAAAGAGCAGAUUGUAGAAGAAAGUAGUAGAGUGUGGAAAGUGGUCAGUGUAUCCUCCAGCAGUCUAAGCCUAUAGCAGCAUAACUACAGAGAUAAAUAAAGACUCCCGUACUUUUAGUAGUUGUUCCUAUUCUGUCAAAAAUAUCUUUGGCUGUAGUUUCUUAUAGUUUUCUACUAAAAAAUAAGCCUGGCAAGCCAUCCUGUAUAUGUGAAUAUAUAAUCUGGCCAUGACCCAUAUGAUCCAUCAUGGGGUGGAAUCUAUGGUUGUCUUUCAAACUGUCUCCACGUGCUAUUGGAUAACGAACAACGUCACGGCUAUGAAUGUCAGUCAACGGGGUGGUCCACCAUACACCGUCGAAGAAGACACAAAAACGUCCUUUAUCUAAAUAAAGGACUUAAGUAUCUUUAUCUGCCCUUGACUCAAAGAAAAGCCCAAGUCUUAAUAGUCCAAAGUUGAUGCCAAAGCCGUUUCAAUCAAGCCGACGCCGUCUUAGCUGUUUCGCUCAGUGGCAUCAUCCUGACCAGCAGACCAACUGUGAUUGGCAAGACACAAGACUGUUUGGGUCUGCUCAGGCUUCAGUGGAGCGUGGGUAAGGGUUACGGCUACUGUCUGAAUCAAGUCUCUAGUUGAUGACAGUUUAUUAAUUCCAGCUUGUAAACGCAAAUCCACUCCAGGAGAAAAGGCCGACAGAGCGUGAGUUUUCACUAAGCUGUGUUUGCAGACUAUUUUGGAUUCUUAUUUACAACAGCACUUAAAAGUUACAUUCAGUUCUUGAAUUUCUUUUUCAGAAUAUGAUAUUAAAGUCUUUUUCCGGAGUAUUUCUCCUAUCCGAUGGCACCAUCUAGUGGCUGACAAGCAUAUCACACAAAUAAUCUCUGGAUCUGUUUUGUUAAGAUGGCAGCUUCACGUUUCUGUUUAUAAAUGUGCUUCUGUAGCCGACAAACAGAACUAAAACACGUUGUUUUACGAGUAUUAUUCUCAUGUCAUGUUGUGUUCUCAUAUAUUUAUAUUUUAGAAACUUGUCCGUGAAAAAUUCAUCAACUCUGCAUCAGCCGAGGUAUUCCUUAAAUUUGAAGCAGAUACAUCAGACAGAUGCAUCAGUCCACUGCAUCUUGCCAAGUUUGACAGCAUUUGGAGCUAAGCUUUUUCUCCCGUGUGCAUCCUGAGUGAACUCUUCCCCUGAUUACUGACGUAGAGUGCUGUGAUGAGAAUUAGAUUUUUAUUUUUUACAUUUCUUAAUAAGGUUUUCUCCGUUGCCUUGGGACGAUGAAGGUGCAUCCCGUGCUGCUCCACUCCUGGCUGGUGCUGACGACCACCUGAGCAUUUGGUUAUUUCAGACAGAAGGCGGAACGUUUGAUAUUUGAAAAAUUAUGGUACCUUUAAUGUAAAACUACUCAUAGAGGAGGAAAAAAAAACAGAUUCAGGUUCUCAAAUCAUUUUCAUGUGACCAUCCGAUCAGUGAGCGUACUGCUUAUUUCACUUGUUUUCUACUUUGAUGUCACACUCUCACAGUAGAGAAUCAGGUUGCUUUUUAUAAGAAAACAAAUGAUGGCAGAGAAUAUUUAAAAUGAAAUAAACUUGAAAAAAACUGAGUGUUUUCAAUUUUAUCAGCCCAUCAACUAACAUUUGUUUAAUCACUCUUUUACUGAUACCCUCUGAUCUAUGUUUAACACAUUCACGACUAUUUUUGUACAUUUUUUAACAUCCAUGAUAAGAUUUAUUUGAAAUCAUGAGAAUAAAAUGCUGGACUGAACAUUUUAAAUAAACUAAUGUUUUCUGA